AUUAUAUACAGCAUAUAAAUUCUGUUUAAUACAGCCAAUCUCUUUUUUCCUCCUCAGUGGUGUGAAUGAAGAUGUGAUGCUUGAAUCAGCAAUUUAUGUUAAUGUGCCUCGAUAUGAAGGGCGCCCUUAAGACCUGCUGAAGAAGAAAGGUCCGAUGGAGCAACCAAACCAUGACUACUUAUGUGACACGAUUCUAUAAAGAAGCACUGUCUUUACGCUGGCAAAAGCACGAUAAAGAAAAGAUAACAUUGAUAAUGCCUUGCUUGAAAGAGGUCCAACAUUUUUUUAAAGCAGUUAUUUUUGAUCAUCGUAUGAAAACCUCUGGGUCUAUGGAUGGCUGUGGAUAAACAGUUUACCAAACAGUAUAAUCUUUACACUUUGUUAAAUCACAUUUGUAAAUGUAACAGUGUAAUGUAUCCGAACAAUGAACAUUGUAUCAGACCAGCUUAUGCUUUGUACUUAUUAAUCAAAAAUUAAAAACUAUUUCACUUUCACCUAAGUUUUUUCUGUGUAGUCACAAUGCGCCAAACUGGGAGGCUAAGACAUGAAGCAAAGAACUGUAGUUCAUCAGCAGAAAUAAAUGAUUAUAGCCCGGUCCAAAAAAAAAAACAUUUUGGUCUCUAUAGCCAAUUUUGCUGUUCAUGACAACUGUAUGGGGGUGAAUGUUUACACAACUCACUAGUUCACAUUCUGUUAGUGCUUAAAGUUACGCACAAUUAAGGGAGUGACAGUUUUGAGUGACAGGCUGUCUGCUAAGCAUCACCUUUGGCUCACAGUCAGAUCCACCCCUCACUCUUCCCCUCUCUUUAGAACAAGAGACCAUAAACCAAUGAUGGCUAAUCUAAUAUAUUUAUACAAUCUAUGGUAGCCACUAAAAUCUAAUUUAUGUUCAGAUGGUCUUCCAUCACUAGAAAAUACUGCAUAUUACAUAAACUUUAUGACCAACAUAAAAGUCACUGCAGGAUGUAAUUAUUGGAAACCAGACAAAAACGAUGAUUUUUGGUCAGUGUGAGAUUAUCUUUAUCACAGUUUGUAACAGACAAAAAUUGAAGUUUUAAGAGUAAACUUACCAUUUAGAAGCUGUCAUUUGCUAGUUUUUCUUCAAAGUGAAAAAUCUAAAGUCUUGCAGUAAAGUCAGAGUAAACUGCCCUUUCACAGUGAGCACUGCUCACCAGGCCUUCAAAGUUUAGUCCUUCCAUACAAAUGACCCAAUUGGUCCAUAGCUACAGGUGUGUUGCCGCGAUUGGCCAGGCUCGGUUCAGCGUUGCACCAACGUUACAGCAGGUCCUGUUUCAGUAGUGUUUUAUGUCUUGGCAACCAGGUGAUGAGAUGUGAAACUCAUGAAUACCUGGUAAGAGCUCCAAGCACGCAAUCUACUGUCCAAAAGGAAUUUCAAAGCUUUAUUACAUUUAGUAAGCAUACAAGGUGUUUGUGAUGAGGGUCUUUAACUUGACAUGAAAUGUUCAGAAACAGCCAAACUAUCAAAACAAUAAAUAUUAAUUGCAAUAAUUUGCUUUCUGGAAAACCCCAGGACUCUUCCAUACCACCUUCAGAGGGCCCAUGGAAAAGUAAACUGAGCCAUGAGUAAAAGGCGGUGACACAGGAGAGCACAUGUUCAGUAAAAACAAAAAUUAUCCUUAACAAGAAAUGGCCAUAAUCCUUAAAGUGACUUUACUUAACAAUCCCACCCCCCAAAAAACAAAACAAAAAAACACACCAUGAUCUCCAUUUCUGUGUGUUCAAGCUACAGUAGGUAUAUAUUCUGUAAAAAAGCAAACUUUUUGUCAUAUUUGCUGAGUUGUCACUAUAUCCUGACAGCAGUGCAUGAGACAGAUAAUCUGCUUGCACCUGAACUAAAAUAAACAAUCAGAGAAAACGUCAAUCUUCUUCGGUGAAAGUCAAUGCAAGUUUUCCUCCAUCAGUCUUCUUCUGUUUACUUGUCUUUACCAUGUACAUUGUUGUUGGCAGCACAGUGUGAUUUGCAUACAUUAGAAACUCCUCCUGGCUAUGAUUGGUUGUUUUUGUUCAGAUGUAGCGGAUUCUUGCAAAUGCCAUAAGGAGCACUAGAAGCAGCAGAGGUACCAUGUUUUUGCAUAAAUCUUCCAUUUCAUGUACCGCUGAGAGGUUAUAGUGUAGGUUUCAGCAAAUAUGACAAAGUUUAUUUUUUUUAUAAAAGUUACUCACUGAACAUUAACAGAAAACGUUAUCAUUACUGCACAUAUUUUUUUGAAGGCAACGAAACUUAACUGUGCAACACGUAUUGCAUGUUGUUAACUAACAAGGUGACAAAUAAAAGCAAGAUACAUCCGUUGGGUUCAAAAUCUAUUACAUCUUUUCAAGAGUUACUACCAUCAUCAUCAUCAUCAUCAGUAAAAAUGUACUGUAUCUGUCAAGCCAAUACAAAAAGCCUCGGCAUUUUUUCGUAUUUUGCUGUUAAAAAACUACCAAUUUCUUAAGGGAGUUCUGUACAAAAUAAAAGUUAAAAAUCUAAAACGUGCUUUAAAUACUAAACGUUUUUGUGCUAUACAGAUGCUCUUGUUGAGAGAACGAAAGCAUAGAGCACUAACAGCAAUGUAUGUGAAGAGGAUGAAAAUUUGAGAUAAAUGAAAUGGAAAAAAGUUUUACUGCAAUAGGGGUGAAAACAAGGUGUACAACUGCAAACAAAAAUUGCAAACACUGUAUUUGCAAGGUCUUAGACAAAUACUAUCAACACACUAUCAAAAUAUUCUGUUAACCAAGACAAAAUAACUUACAUUUUCUUGCAGCUAUAAGCUUUGAUUUUGUAUUACAUGUUUAUAGUAUUACAUGUCAAUUAAAAAAAACAAACAUGAAAAGCAUGGGCAUACAUGUACAAUAAUUUCAAUGAGCGGUUACCAGGCUAUUUGAUACUGUUAAAAGAGAACUCAUAAGACACUGAAAUAAAGUGUUAUCCAUCAUUGUUUACUUACUAUACCUUUUAUGUGGUAUCAUUGUCAUGUAAACCAGUGGUAGUCAGUGCUGGUCAUUUGUGACCCACUGGUGUAAACGUUUUCACUGUAAAAAAAAAAAACCAAAAAAAAAACACAUAUACCACUGUUUCCUUCCUCCAA